GACGAACGCUGGCGGCGUGCCUAAUACAUGCAAGUAGAACGCUGAAGAGAGGAGCUUGCUCUUCUUGGAUGAGUUGCGAACGGGUGAGUAACGCGUAGGUAACCUGCCUGGUAGCGGGGGAUAACUAUUGGAAACGAUAGCUAAUACCGCAUAAUAGCAGUUAUUGCAUGAUAACUGUUUGAAAGGUGCAAAUGCAUCACUACCAGAUGGACCUGCGUUGUAUUAGCUAGUUGGUGGGGUAACGGCUCACCAAGGCGACGAUACAUAGCCGACCUGAGAGGGUGAUCGGCCACACUGGGACUGAGACACGGCCCAGACUCCUACGGGAGGCAGCAGUAGGGAAUCUUCGGCAAUGGACGGAAGUCUGACCGAGCAACGCCGCGUGAGUGAAGAAGGUUUUCGGAUCGUAAAGCUCUGUUGUAAGAGAAGAACGAGUGUGAGAGUGGAAAGUUCACACUGUGACGGUAUCUUACCAGAAGGGGACGGCUAACUACGUGCCAGCAGCCGCGGUAAUACGUAGGUCCCGAGCGUUGUCCGGAUUUAUUGGGCGUAAAGCGAGCGCAGGCGGUUAGAUAAGUCUGAAGUUAAAGGCUGUGGCUUAACCAUAGUACGCUUUGGAAACUGUUUAACUUGAGUGCAAGAGGGGAGAGUGGAAUUCCAUGUGUAGCGGUGAAAUGCGUAGAUAUAUGGAGGAACACCGGUGGCGAAAGCGGCUCUCUGGCUUGUAACUGACGCUGAGGCUCGAAAGCGUGGGGAGCAAACAGG
rnacentral:rRNA from 1 species